ACGUGAUMUGAGUUCAGACCGGAGUGAUCCAGGUCAGUUUCUAUCUAUAAGGAGCAUUUUUUAGUACGAAAGGAUCGAAAAAACACGGCCAAUACACCAGCAAGCCGUCUCUAUUAAUUUAUGAUUUAAUCUUAAUAAUUAAAUAAUCCAAAAUAAUGACCUAAAAAAAAGGUU
rnacentral:rRNA from 1 species